UACAGAGGGGGCAAGCGUUGUUCGGAAUUACUGGGCGUAAAGGGUGCGCAGGCGGCCCCGCAAGUCAGGCGUGAAAUCCCCGGGCUUAACCUGGGAAUGGCGCUUGAAACUACGGGGCUGGAGUAUGGCAGAGGGAGGUGGAAUUCCACGUGUAGCGGUGAAAUGCGUAGAGAUGUGGAGGAACACCGAUGGCGAAGGCGGCUUCCUGGACCGACACUGACGCUGAGGCGCGAAAGCUAGGGGAGCAAACGGG
rnacentral:rRNA from 1 species